CCUACGGGCGGCAGCAGUGGGGAAUAUUGCACAAUGGGGGAAACCCUGAUGCAGCGACGCCGCGUGAGGGAAGAAGUAAUUCGUUAUGUAAAGCUCUAUCAGCAGGGAAGAAAAUGACGGUACCUGAGUAAUAAGCACCGGCUAACUACGUGCCAGCAGCCGCGGCAAUACGUAGGGGGCAAGCGGUAUCCGGAUUUACUGGGUGUAAAGGGAGCGUAGGUGGCAGUGCAAGUCUGGAGUGAAAGGCGGAGGCUCAACCCCCGGAUUGCUCUAGAAACUAUACAGCUGGAGUGCAGGAGAGGUAAGCGGAAUUCCUGGUGUAGCGGUGAAAUGCGUAGAUAUUAGGAAGAACACCAGUGGCGAAGGCGGCUUUCUGGACUGAAACUGACGUUGAGGCUCGAAAGCGUGGGGAGCGAACAGGAUUAGAUACCCGAGUAGUC
rnacentral:rRNA from 1 species